AUCUACUGCUGCUAAUCUAUCGCUGCUGCUAAGCUAUCCCUCACUGCUAAUCUAUCACUGCUGCCAAUCUAUCUAUUGCUGCAAGCUAUUCCUCACUGCUAAGCUAUCGCCGCUAACCUCUCUAUUGCUGCAAGCUAUCCCUCGCUGCUAAGCUAUCACUGCCAAUCUAUCUAUCACUGCCAAUCUAUCUAUCACUGCCAACCUAUCUAUCACUGUCAAUUUAUCUACCACUGUCAAUCUAUCUAUCACUGCCAAUCUAUUGCUGCUAAUCUAUCACUGCUGUCAAUCUAUCUUUUGCUGCUAAUCUAUCACUGCUGUCAAUCUAUCUUUCACUGCUAAUCUAUCUCUUGCUGCUAAGCUAUCCCUCACUGCUAAGCUAUUCCUUGCUGCUAAGCUAUCCCUCACUACUAAGCUAUCUAUCACUGUCAAUCUAUCUAUUGCUGCUAAUCUAUCACUGCUAAUCUAUCGCUGCUAAUCUAUUGCUGCUAAUCUAUUGCUGCUAAUCUAUUGCUGCUAAUCUAUUGCUGCUAAUCUAUUGCUGCUAAUCUAUUGCUGUCAAUCUAUUGCUGCCAAUCUAUCUACCGCGGCGAAUCUAUCUAUCACUAUCAUUACUAGUUCAAAAUAGAACUAGAGCAUAAAUACACUAAACUUCUUUUGAUAGAUAAUGAUUUUUGAUAACACUCAUAGCAUUAUAUCAUCUAUAUAGGGUAAAUCAUGGUCUCAUUUGGUUCCAUUUUAACAAAAUGAGAUCAAAUGAGAUCAGAAUCAGUAAUUUAUAAGAAGAAUAUGAUCUGGGACUAGAUUUAUAAUAUAAACAGUGUAAAGUGACUAAUUUAAUAAACACUAUAUGAGACCAGAACUAAGAAAUUUGAUAAUGGAACUGGAGAAAUAUUUAGUCCCAGUCCCAUGCAUGGUCACACAGCCAGUCUAGAAGUAUGAGAUGAAAGAAUCAUUGAAAGCUGUAACAAACAUACUUCAAUUAACAAUUUGAUACUAUUCUAAUUACAGAUUACAAAAUGAUUAAGAAAAGAAAGAGAAAAGAAUGUGAUGAGUUAGCAUCUGUUAGUAAUUAACUUAUGCAAUCAACUCCCCUUCUGCACCCGCUUGUUCCUGGCCAUUGUUACCUUGUGUAACUCUCAAUGUUCUUCCACUCCAUGCUUCACACUCAUGUAGUUUCUAAUGAUUCUUCUGUAUAGCUUUUAAUGUUCUUCUGCUCUGUGCUCUGCACUUGUGUAGUCUCUAACAAUUCUUUUAUAUAGUUUCUUACAUUCUCUCACUCUGUGUUCUGCACUUGUGUAGUCUCUAAUGAUUCUUCUGCAUAGCUCUCAAUGAUUCUCUCAUCUCAUGUUUCACACUUGUGUAGCUUCUAAUGAUUCUUAUGUGUAUCUUUUAAUAUUCUUUCACUUCACAUUUCACUGUGGAGCAGCUUCUGAUAUUCUUUCACUCUGAACUUUUCUCUAUAAGAAUUCUCUUCAUAUAAUCUUUUCUUCUGAUUUCUUUUCUCUUUCUUUUCUUAAUCAAUUCAUAAUCUGUAAUUAGAAUAGUAUCAAAUUGUUAAUCAAAGUACAUUCAUUAUAUUAUGAAUUGAUUCUUCUGCAUUUAAGAUCUGAGUGUUUUGUUAUUAGUUCUUAUACUUAAGUGCAUUGUUAUCAGUUCUUACACUCAAGUGUGUUGUUUAUAGAUCUGAGUAUCUAGUUGUUACAAGAGAUUUCUCAUGAAUCUGAGUGUUCUUAUCAUUAGUUAUAUAGACUGUUGUGUCUAAGCAUUUGAAACACAAUCAAUUAUGUUCUAUGAGGCUUGAGUGUCUAUGAACUGUAACACUGUGAAUAGUGUUCACAAAGAAGCUUGAUCAAACUUAGUGCUGCAACACUGUGAAUAGUGUCUGCAAGAGAAUCAAGUGUCUACAAGUAUUUCUUUUCUUUUUUUUUAUUAUAUAUUUUUAGAUAUCAAAAUGAACUACAAGCAAUUCUACAAACAUUCAUCACAUUCAAAUGCAGUGAAUGAUAACUUAGAUCUACAAAGCAUUCUUCAGCAGCAGAUGCUACAGAUGACUGAAUUGCAAUGAUGAUUUGCUGAGAUGAGUAUUUCUGUGUUCAUUAUUUCUUCUACACUCACAUCUCACAAAAAGCUCUCAAGAGAGAAGCUUUCAAUUUUCAAUAAAUAUGAGAGAGAUCUAGUGCUCUACCUUGCAUGAAAGUCAAAAGCAAAUGUCAAAUUGGACAUCAAUGAACAAGCAAUAGGCUUGCUAUUCAAUCAAGUGUGGUAUAUUUAUAGCAGAUUGAAUGGUGAUGCAUUAGCAAAAUUUCAACUCUGAAUGAGUCAUUGUCAGAAUCAUCAGUGUACAUCAGAGCUAGUCUUCUGACAACUCAACUCUCUCUUUCUUGAUUCUAUACUUCAAAUCAAGAUGUUAGACUGACUUAAUCAAACUCAUCAGAUGAAUGUUGUGUUUAGACUGAUUGAUGGAAUCAUGAAUUUCAUGUUUGAUUUGAUUUGGUUUGGUCCCAGUCCAUUUCUUGGCGUGAUUUUCAGUGGGAUCAGAAUCAGAAUAGAAGUGUAAAGUGACUAGAAUUAUUAGAACAUGAGUGAAAUGAGACUAAUAAAUCUUGAUAUUUCAUGUAAAGUGACUGACUAUCAAAAAUAAGAACAUGACCUGGGACUGACUAUGAUUUUGACUGAGGUUUGGUCCCAUUCUGAUGAUUAUAUAAUACAUAUCUUAGAUAUCAAUCUGAUGAUAUGAUUGGUGGAGAUAUCACCUCUAUCUAGUGCUGUCAAUCAAUUUGCCUCUGUCAAUCUAUCUACUGCUGCUAAUCUAUUGCCACUGCUAAGCUAUUCCUUGCUGCUAAUCUAUCACCACUGCCAAUCUAUCUAUUGCUGCAAGCUAUCCCUUGCUGCUAAACUAUCACCACUAACCUCUCUAUUGCUGCAAGCUAUCCCUUGCUGCUAAGCUAUCACUGCCAAUCUAUCUAUCACUGCCAAUCUAUCUAUCACUGCCAACUUAUCUAUCACUGCUAAUUUAUCUACCACUGUCAAUCUAUCUAUCACUGUCAAUCUAUUGCUGCUAAUCUAUCGCUGCUGCCAAUCUAUCUUUUGCUGCUAAUCUAUCACUGCUGCCAAUCUAUCUUUCACUGCUAAUCUAUCUCUCACUGCUAAGCUAUCCCUCACUGCUAAGCUAUCCCUCACUGCUAAGCUAUCCCUCACUACUAAGCUAUCUAUCACUGCCAAUCUAUCUAUCACUGCUAAUCUAUCGCUGCUAAUCUAUCGCUGCUAAUCUAUUGCUGCUAAUCUAUCGCUGCUAAUCUAUCGCUGCUAAUCUAUCACUGCUAAUCUAUCGCUGCUAAUCUAUCACUGCCAACCUAUCGCUGCCAACCUAUCUACCGCGGCGAAUCUAUCUAUCACUAUCAUUACUAGUUCAAAAUAGAACUAGAGCAUAAAUACACUAAACUUCUUUUGAUAGGUAAUGAUUUUUGGUAACACUCAUAGCAUUAUAUCAUCUAUAUAGGGUAAAUCAUGGUCCCAUUUGGUCCCAUUUUAACAAAAUGGGACCAAAUGGAAUCAGAAUCAGUAAUUUAUAAGAAGAACAUGACCUGGGACUAGAUUUAUAAUAUAAACAGUGUAAAGUGACUAAUUUAAUAAACACUAUAUGGGACC
rnacentral:sRNA from 1 species